GCCUGAGAUGCCUUAGAAGGAUCUCCAGGAAACCAUUAUGUUAACAAAUGGUAUAUGAAACGCACAUAGGCUACUUGAACCAGAGAAGAAAAAAUGGAUGUAUAAAAUAAAAUCCUUCCGACAGUUUAGACUUUUACCAUUCUGAAUUGGACAAAUAACAAGGGAAACUGAUAAAGCAAUACAGAUUUCAUGUGGAGUUGUAACAGUUUGUUAAAGGCAACAUGAAAGCAGACGACAAACUUCAGAUCUUGAAAUUCUUUCUAAUGCUUGUCAAUUCCUUCUUUGUGAUUCUUGGCAUCAGCAUUUUUGCGUGUUCUGCUUGGAUUUUAUUUGAUAAGGACAGCUUUGUUAGUGUUCUCAGCUCUGGUAAGUUUUCCUCUUGGUCAUAGUCUAUCAUUAUUCAAAUUAGGAGUUACAUCUUACACAAUGCAUGUUAUUGCAAUUUGCCUUGUGUUACCUAUAAUAAUGUUUUAGGUCAUGAUGUUUUCUCUAAAGUAUAGUAUUUGCCAUAGCCGAUUUUUAGUGAACGUUUGUCCUUCUAUCUGACUUCGGUGUGUUAGUGAAGCAAAAUGUGUGGUCUCUCAGGACAGGAAGUGAAGGUGGUGGCUGGGGGGCUCUUUUUCAUCGGCCUUGUUGUGGUUGUUGUGUCCUUGCUGGGUUGUGCUGGUGCCUAUUUUGAGAGCAGAUGUUUCAUUAUAUUUGUAAGCAUGAUGCGCAUAGACACUAAUAACUUUUACCCUGUUUUCUGAGUUGCAAUAAAAGCUUGCUGUUAACAUUUCCUCUUCUCUGUUUUUUUAGUAUAUGUGCUUCUUAAUAGUCAUCAUUCUGGGUCAGCUUUUCAUCACCUUUGUGCUAUUAAUACGAAGAGAGAGGGCAAGUCUUUACAUUAUUUAUUUAUACUGUAAGGAAAACACAGCUGACUUCAACUUCACACACGA